rnacentral:rRNA from 1 species
UACGUAGGUGGCAAGCGUUGUCCGGAAUUAUUGGGCGUAAAGCGCGCGCAGGUGGUUUCUUAAGUCUGAUGUGAAAUCCUGGGGCUCAACCCUGGAACUGCAUUGGAUACUUCCUUGCUAGAGUACUGGAGAGGAAACUGGAAUUUACGGUGUAGCAGUGAAAUGCGUAGAGAUCGUAAGGAAGACCAGUGGCGAAGGCGAGUUUCUGGACAGUUACUGACGCUGAGGCACGAAGGCCAGGGGAGCAAACGGG